rnacentral:rRNA from 1 species
AACGAACGCUGGCGGCAUGCCUAACACAUGCGAGUCGAACGAGACCUUCGGGUCUAGUGGCGCAUGGGUGCGUAACGCGUGGGAACCUGCCCUUAGGUUCGGAAUAACUCCCCGAAAGGGGUGCUAAUACCGGAUAAUGUCUUCGGACCAAAGAUUUAUCGCCUUUGGAUGGGCCCGCGUUGGAUUAGCUAGUUGGUAGGGUAAAAGCCUACCAAGGCGACGAUCCAUAGCUGGUCUGAGAGGAUGAUCAGCCACACUGGGACUGAGACACGGCCCAGACUCCUACGGGAGGCAGCAGUGGGGAAUAUUGGACAAUGGGCGAAAGCCUGAUCCAGCAAUGCCGCGUGAGUGAUGAAGGCCUUAGGGUUGUAAAGCUCUUUUACCCGGGAUGAUAAUGACAGUACCGGGAGAAUAAGCUCCGGCUAACUCCGUG